CGGCGCUCGAUCCGGUGACGCGCCGGCCACCGCCGACGCCGCCGACCUAAUUGAGCUAUCGGAGGUGAUGCGGUCUUUUGGCAAACAUGCCCUAUAUUCUAUGGUUUGGCAUCUACAGGAUGCCAUCUCUGGUCAUGUAUCCACUGUGGCUGCUUCAUCCUUCACUUAGGACCUUCUCACCCCCACAGAGAUCAGAGAGAAAAAUAUGUUUUGGAAGCAGGAACCCUUACCUCAUAAGAUGGGUGAGCUGUAGGAUUUGGUUCUGUUGAACUUGAAUUAGUUUUUGCUCAUCAUGUUCUCUGUAUUAGGAAUUCAGGUGCCUUCCAACUCUAAUUUUUUCGUAUUGUUGGUGCAUGCUGGGAGUCACAUUGUUAUGCAUGCUAGCAAACAUUAGGAUUGGAAGUCUUACCCUGUAGGUUAUUAAUAUCUUUUCCACUAACCGAGAUUCAGCAAUUUAAUUCGUAUGGUCGCACAAGCAGUUUUGUUUUCGAAUUUAUCUUGACAAACGUAUUGGGUACAUCAAUUUAAUUCAUAUUAAGGUCACACAAGCAGUUAGUUCCAUUACACUUGGGUCACCGACGGUUGCCGUGCAACUAUGCUCCUCUCAUGUUGUAGUGGCUAGCUGCUGCAAUUCACGGAUCAUGCUCUCAUGGGAAGGAGGCUGUGGCUUUCUCAAUUGAUCAGAACAACAGGACCCCACAUAGUUCUUUUCUAGAUAUAUAUUGUUAUUUAUGAUGUUGUGUGGACCAUCAGAAACCUGAUGUGUGUGUGUAUCAUAGAAUAUCUUGCUAUUUAUGUAUAUUGCUUACCUUUCAUUCCUGUACCACUUCUCUAAAUAUAAGCCACUUCUUUUCUAUUGUUAGCGCUAUCUUUUGAUGUUAAUGCACUAAAAAUCUAAAGCCUUUCCCUCUGCAAAAUGUUGAUAUUAGAGCGUUUUUUGUGGGAAAAUGAUGAUAUUAAAGCUAUGCGUCUUAUAAUCCGUACUGUACAUGACAAUGCGUAUUCAGUUAUAUUAUGUUUGUAGCAUGGCAUUUUUCCAUUCCUUUUUUUCCCGAUGAAUCACAUGGUAAAUUUUGAUGUACAAUGACUGCUCUUGCAAAAAAUGUGGAAUUCAGAGAGGGACUCUACAACAAGCAAGGUUUUAGGUUCUGAAUCUAAAUAACCUCUUCUUCGGUUCAGUCCUAGAAAAAGCUGAUCAGAGAAACAAAGAAGCAACAAUGAAUGGGUCCCUUUCUUGACCACACAAGAGUUGUCCGUGUGCAAGUCAUGAACCGUUUGUCCAUCAAUACAAGUGCAGGAUUUGAACAUGUUAAUUCUGACCUUCUGUUGGGAGUUUAUAUUAUACCUUUCAUGCGAAGUAGUUACAUUUAUCACAUGGAAGACAAUGCCCAUGGAGUGGAAGGUGGAGAGAUUCAGACU